GAGCCAUUGGCCCUGGGGUCCAGGAAGUGGUCGUAAAGGGCCCUGCGGGGGCCCUUCAAGGCCCUGGGUGUAAAGUCAACCAGUAACCCAGUGCCGCGGAAGCCCACAGCGCCUGCAGUUCUCCGCUCGUGCAGGCGACACGCUGCGUGAGCAAACAGCUACAUGACGACAUCCAUCGCUUUGCAGAAACUCUGACCUACUUCGACUGAACUGCGGUAUUAAAAAACAUCGGGCUACGUGUCCAGUGCCGCGUACCACGAGCCUCUGAAGCUGGACCGGACGGGGGACGGAGGCCUGCACGAGGAUACGUACUUCCUCGGGAGGUCUCCCGCGGAGAACCGCGUCAUCCUGAACCAGCUCUGUCCCACAACGUGACAGUCAUCACGUUCCCCUCACCUAACCUUGCCUUACAAAAACGUUAGAGAAAGGCCUCAUAAGGAAAACCACAAUAAGAACACAACCCACACCAACCCUGCUCCC
ensembl:lncRNA